UGAACAUGCACAAAAUUACACAUGUAAAUAUUUAUUCGUAUUAUGAUUUAUUUUGAUCAAGAAGCAAAUAACUCUUGAAACCUGCAAGGAGUUCGCGCUAUUUUUUGAACAGAGUACGAAGCAGUCAGUUUCAUUUUGCCAGGAAGACACAUGCUACACCAUUCAAGACUCUGAUCAAUCAUUGCUUGACACAUGGAUUGAAUGGAAAGUAGGAGAAAACACACAAAGAGAUGUUGAGAGAGAGAUGAAGACGCAAACCAGUGAAAACAUGGAGCUUGUGAAGAUUGUCAGAUGUAGCAGCUACAGUGAUAUAAGACCAGUUUUCUCUGAUCCACACACACCUGUGAAGAGCUGCUCUCAUCAAUCACAGAACAUCAGACAUGAUGUAAGAUUAUGAACCGAUGAAAUGAAGCUGAACAGCAUGUGUGACUUUAUUAAUUGAUCUUGUUUCUGUCUUGAAAAGCACAGAUCAUUAAAGACCGUGGUACUCUCCAGCUCCUGACAGCAUCUUUAUUCAGCAUUUCAAAUGAUACCUCUCUUCUCUGUAUUUAUCUAACAGCUUAUUUUUAUAUUUAUUUUUUUAUUUUUUUUAAAUGAAGGUUUUACAUUUCUUUGGAACAUUUAC